AAGAAGAAACUCUUUUUUUUUUUAAAACACUCAGUGCUGGGAGUUUCACGCAGCUGGGGGUUGGGAUGGCACUGGAGCAAGCCCAGAAAAAGGCCGAUGGUUAGAUGAGAAGAAAAAAAGUAAAGCAAAGAAGGGGAGGAGGAAAGGGAGCUCUCAUCUUGUGAGCAAAGGAAGGCGGUGCCCACGUUGCACAUACUAACUUGUAGAUCUCCAACGUCAGGGUGCCUGAACUGCAGUUCCUGCACUGAACAAGUGAUUGACUUGAUGAUGUAAAAAACCCUAAUGCAAGACUGGCAGCCCCUUUUUAUGAAAUGUUCCAAAGGCAAGUCAUCCUUCUGAAAUACCAACUGAUUUAGAAACCCGAGUUGGCCUGACCGAUUUGAUCAUGCUGGGAGAAGCAGGUGAUUAUUUCCCAUUUUGGGAAGGUCAAGGAGGUCGAAACCCCAGAGUGCUGUUUUUUCCACUGUAUGGCUGGCUCUCUGGAAUGGUCUUCCAUUGGAGGUUUGCUUAACUCUGAUGCUGUUUGCCUUCAAGAAGAUGUUGAAGAUGAAAGUUUUCUGGAGGGCAUUUAGGUUAUGAUGCCACUUAAUUGUUGCUAGCAAGUUUAGAUAUUUUAGGUAUUUGGGGUUUUCUAUCAUUAUAUGUCUUUUAUUUUGCUAUAAGCUGCUGUAAGUUUUUUUAGGUUGUGGCAGGGUAGAAAUGUGACUAACUAACUGGAACCUCAUUGCCUAGUUCAGUAGAUCAAUCAAAUCAAAAUGAUUUUCUUCAGUCUUAUCUAACUUUUUGGACUAGUGGACAUAUGUGUAGCUUUGAGAGUAUGUUGUGAUUGUUGGCAUAAAAUG